rnacentral:tRNA from 1 species
GCAGUGGUGGUUCAGUGGUAGAAUUCUCACCUUGCAUGUGACAGACUCAAGUGCAAUUCCUGGCCAAUACA